AUUGAACGCUGGCGGCAUGCUUUACACAUGCAAGUCGAACGGUAACAGGGAGCUUGCUCCGCUGACGAGUGGCGAACGGGUGAGUAAUGCGUCGGAACGUGCCGAGUAGUGGGGGAUAACGCAUCGAAAGGUGUUCUAAUACCGCAUACGUACUGAGGUAGAAAGUGGGGGACCUUCGGGCCUCACGCUAUUCGAGCGGCCGACGGCUGAUUAGCUAGUUGGUGAGGUAAAGGCUCACCAAGGCGACGAUCAGUAGCGGGUCUGAGAGGAUGAUCCGCCACACUGGGACUGAGACACGGCCCAGACUCCUACGGGAGGCAGCAGUGGGGAAUUUUGGACAAUGGGCGCAAGCCUGAUCCAGCCAUGCCGCGUGUCUGAAGAAGGCCUUCGGGUUGUAAAGGACUUUUGUCCGGGAGCAAAUGCUGGUGGCUAACAUCCACCGGAGCUGAGAGUACCGGAAGAAUAAGCACCGGCUAACUACGUGCCAGCCGCCGCAGUAACAC
rnacentral:rRNA from 1 species